UACGAAGGGGGCUAGCGUUGCUCGGAAUUACUGGGCGUAAAGGGCGCGUAGGCGGUUCGAUAAGUCAGCUGUGAAAACCAUGGGCUUAACUCAUGGCCUGCAGUUGAGACUGUCGGGCUGGAGUGUGGGAGAGGAGAGUGGAAUUCCUGGUGUAGCGGUGAAAUGCGUAGAUAUCAGGAGGAACACCGGUGGCGAAGGCGGCUCUCUGGACCACAACUGACGCUGAGGCGCGAAAGCUAGGGGAGCAAACAGG
rnacentral:rRNA from 1 species